CGUAGUUGCAAACAAAGGUGACUUCAUGGGGAUAGUGGAAGUUAUCACUUUAACCCCCUCCUUGCACUGGGAGAAGUCAUCAUCAAUAACUACAGCAUAGAAAGCAGAAGUUGGGCAACCUGCAGGCGAAAGCAAGAAGUUUCCAGGGCCUGCACUUAGCCAGAAUCUUAGAGUUCCUUUCUUGCAUUUCGAUACUGCUGUCAUUUGAAUAAGAAUGCUUCGAAGAGUUGAGCGAGGGAAAGGAGAAGAUAUCUUUGCUUUAGAUGCUGAUCGUAGAAAGCGGUCCAAAUG
rnacentral:misc_RNA from 1 species